AGAGAUUGAAGAACAUGGAAAUAACAAAAAUGUUGGGUUCAGCAUGAACGAUGUGAUCGAAGAGUGUAAGCUAUUUUACUUUGCCGGCCAAGAGACUACCUCUGUUUUGCUUAAUUGGACGAUGGUCUUAUUGAGCAAGCAUCAAGAUUGGCAAGAACGUGCAAGGCAAGAGGUUUUGCAAGUGUUUGGCAAUAAUAAGCCCAACUAUGAUGGAUUGAAUCACCUCAAAAUUGUAAGUACGAAGGAAAUAGUAUUCGAUAUUGAUCAAUUUGAUCAUAUUAAUCUCAGUUGUGUUUGUAUGUAUGUGACAGGUCCAGAUGAUACUUUACGAGGUACUCAGGCUUUAUCCGCCCGUAACUGCGCUUAGUCGAUCUGUUCUUAAGGAAACGAAACUCGGAAACUUGACAUUACCCGCUGGGGUUCAAAUUGGCUUGCCAAUGAUCCUAGUUCACCAGGAUCCUGAACUUUGGGGUUACGAUGCAGUUGAGUUUAAGCCGGAAAGGUUUGCGGAAGGAAUUUCAAAGGCGGCCAAAAAUCAAGUUUCAUAUUUCCCAUUCGCAUUGGGUCCUAGGAUAUGUGUUGGACAAAAUUUUGCUCUAGUAGAAGCAAAAAUGGCCAUGGCAAUGAUUCUUCAAAACUACUCAUUCGAGUUGUCUCCAUCCUAUGUCCAUGCUCCAACGGCGGUUCCAACCCUUCAUCCGGAACUGGGUACCCAAUUGAUUCUACGGAAACUAAGGUGCAAAAAUAAUUAAUGCCGGCAACUAUAUAUUGUCAAUAAGAUUAGCAUGAUGCCAAUGUAGACUCUUUUAUAAUGAAGUUUAAUGUAUUUAAUUUUGUAUUGAGAUUCAAAGCUUAGACAAGAGCUGUUUAGAUUUUUAAAUUGAGCUCAACACAACUCUAGUUUUAUUUAGAGUAAAGAUGUUUCCCCACAUUGGAAAAUUUUAUAACGCCAUGAUUAGAAUUACAGCAUUAAUGUUGUGGUAAAAAAUAUAUUUUAUAAAAGGCCAAAAGCUUGCUUAGUCCCUACAUUAUGAGCUUAGUGCUCAUUUAAUCUCUAUAUUUUUAAGAAUACCUCAAAACGUCCUUACUAUUAAAUAUUGACAUUUAUACCAUUAUUUUUUUAGCAUGUUUUUACAAUUUUACACUCUUACAGUAAUGUUUCUUUUUUAGAAAUUAAUAAAAAAUUGGAUUAUCAAAUUAAACCCAAAAAUAAAAUAAAAAACAAAAAAGAUAUAUAUUAAUUUUUGUGGAAGCUCAUGUGUGUCCAAAAAAAAAUAAUUUUGUAAAAAAUUAAAUUAUCAAUUUUGUAAAAAAUUAAAUUAUCAAUUUUGUAAAAACUUAAAUUAUCAAUUUUUUUUUAAAAAUUAAUAUUUUAACUUCUCAGCAGAGUGUUCCACAAAAAUUAAUAUAUAUAUUGUUUUUAUUUUAUUUUUUGGUGUUAAACUAGUAAUUUAAUUUUUCUUUUUAAUAAUGUUUAAAAAAGGAACAUUAUUGUAAUAGGGUAAUAUUGUAAAAAUAAGUCAAAAUGAACAAAAGGUAAUGGCAAGGAUGUCAAUAAUUUAAUGAUAGGGAUGUUUUGAGAUGUUUUUAAAAAUAUAAGGACUAAACGGACACUAACCUUAAAAUAUAGGAACUAAACGAACUUUUACCCUUUAUAAAAUUAUACAUAAGAUAAGUGAUUGGAAGAUAAAACAUGUAAAUUAAUAUAAGCCAGUUAAUUAUUAAAACAAUUAACAUGAUUUCUACAUAAUUUUAGUGAAAAAUAAUUUUUUCAUUUACUUUAGCUAAACAAUGAAAUAAAAAUAGUCAUCAAUCUAAGACCAAAAAAAUUAUACUAAAAACAAGUAGAAUAAGUUUUACUGAAUUGGUUUAAGAAUAAAUUCUAUAUUUGUCUUAAGAUAUUUAUAAACUUUUUUUUUUCAUUUUCUAUCAUUGUUUUUUUUUUACUACACAAGUUAACUAAGUGAAAUAAUUUAUCUUAAUGUGGAUUAAACAAAAAAUAAAAUAAAAACAUGUUCUUAUAUUACUAAACACAUAUAUGACAUAUCAAUAAAGUUAGAUUUAAUUUUGAGUUUUACAAGUACUUCUUGUAAUUUUAACCGUGACCCCUUACUUGUAUUUAGAAACUAGUUGCAUUACUGAUGAGGAGAUUUAGAAGGAUGAAAAAUCAUGUCAUCUUACAAUAAAUUCAAAAAACAUUAAAAGAAUAGAUUUCAAAAUCUAAUUUUGAGAAUAAAUUUAUAUAAAACAUCACAUUUAUUACAUAAGACCAAAACUAUCAUUAUUCAAUUUAAAAUAGAAUUAAUAAAUAUAUAAGGUAAUCAAUAUUAUAAUGAGUUUUUAUUUUACAUUUGUAAGUUUUUUUUAAUAACUCUUAUAUUAAUUUUGUAAAUUACACCUAAACUUAUGUUUUAUUUGUACUUAAUAUUGAUUUAUAGUUUUAUAUUAUGUCUUUAAAUUUUUAUUUUGUUCACUACCAAUACAUUAAUUUACCAAUCUUAUAUUAAUUUACUUAUUUUAUCUUUUAUUUACAUGUCUUAUGUUUCAUUUACGCAAUUUAUAUUUUAUUUCACACUAAAUAUUGAUUUAUAAAUUAUAUAUUACAUUUGUAAGUUUUUCUUUUGUUUAUCAAUAAUAUACCAGUUUAUCACUCCUAUUUUAAUUUGUUUGUUUUACCUUCUACUUACAAGUCUAAUAUUUUAUUUACAUAAUUUAUAUGUUAUUUCACAGUUAAUAUUGAUUUACAUGCUUUAUAUUAAAUUUAUAAGUCUUAUGUUUCAUUUACAUAAUUCAUAUUUGAUUACAUAAAUUCAUGACAUCAUCAAGUGACCUUGUACUUUAUAAUCGGGUGAGGCUAUUUAUUUAUAUAUUCUAAAAGUUAUUUUUAAUCCUCUUUAUUUAAUAAAAUUUUAUAUUAUAAAAAUGUCCUUUUAUGAAAUUAGUAUUAAGGAUUGAAUAAUUUUAACUUGAAACAAAUAUCCUUGACACACCCAUGUAUUAUAAAAUCUUAAAUCACCAUCAUCAUCUUCUUCUUCUUCUUUUUAAAUCAAUUUUUUUUCAAUUGGAAAAUUUGAAAGAUUGAAGACUUCUUUGCAAAUUUUUGUCAUGGGUGCACGUAUCCUCACUCUAAUAUCGUUUUCACCAAAUAUAUUUCAUUAACAUCUUCGAAAUAAGAUUAAUGGAAAUUAUAUUUAUGUAACUGAUACCUCAAUGAUAAAUUGUAGCCAAUACAUACUAAAAAUCAAAAUCACAAGAACUAUGAUUCAAUAAAAGAAACGAAGAAUUAUGAUUCAAUAAAAGAAAAAGGGAUAUAUAAUUUAUCUCAAGCCUUUAAUAAGAAGAGAGAAAAUUACUUUAGAAAAAGAAUAAUAAAACAGGAGCCCCCCAAAAAAAAAAUUCAAGACUAUUUUUUAGAUUUAUAUAUUUUACAUAGUAAAAAUUUGAUUUUAAAUUUUAAACGUUGUAUUUGAAAUAAUGAGUGCGCAGGCGGACCUAAGCGGGGGUGUAGCCCGGAUUAGUCCAGGAAAGUUAUUUAUAGCCCUUAUUUUUUUAUUAAUUUUAUAUAAUAAUAUAGUUUUAUUUUUUUUCAUAUUUGUCCCUAAUUUAACUACCCUUAUGUUUUUUUUUAUCAAUUUUAUAAAAUAAUACAGUUUUUAUUUUAUUUUCAAAUAUGUUCCUAAUUCAAUUAUAUUUUCUUCCCAAUUGGAAUUAGUGACUUAUUUCAUGAAAUAAUUAAAUUAUAUAUUUAUUGAAUAAAUUGAAAAGAUUUGGGAGCUAAAAUAUUAUUACUGUUUUAAUUUAUUUAUAAAAAUAAUUUAAUUGAAAAAAUGCCAAUACUUACAAAAACAAAAUAUAGUAACAACUAUAUAUCAACAUUUCUUAACUUUUAUGUGAAUUUUGAGAUUUUAGUUAUUAGUUACAUUAACCAAGAGGAUAAGUUAUAAGAUAAAAUUUAAAUAUUUUGAGGAGUUUUUGAUAGAAAAACCGUCAACAGUAGGUUCUUUAAAAAAAAGGUAGAGUGUAUGACAAAGAAACAAUGAUACCCAAAUAACUUUAUGUUAAGUUGAGUUUAGUUUAUUAUUAAAACUUUUGACUAAUAAUAUUUUAAAAUUUAAAAAGACGAAUAAAUUUUAAUUGUUUAAUUUAUUUAAGCUUGGUAAUUAAGUACUUGACUUCAAAUAUAAAAGUUUUACUACCAUUUUUAAUAAAUUGUGAUUACAUGUAUAGAUUUAUUUUAGCUUGAAAUUCUCAAUUGAUUUACUUAAAGGUUUUAUUGAGGACUUUUUUAGUAUUUUAAAAAGUGUGCAGAGUUAAAGAGAGUAGCUUUUUCAGUAUUUUAUGAGAUCGUGGCUGCAGCUGUUAAGAGAGUAGCUUUAAAAGGAAAUGUGGCAAACAUGGAGGCAGAAGCAGUGCUGCUUGGUAUUCAAGUAGCUCAGAAAACAAAUUGUACCCUAUUCAUUGUCGAAUCAGACUUGAAGGAAGUUGUGGAGCUCACUUUAAACAAGAAGGAAAGUUUAGCUAAAAUUUGUUGGAACAUUGAAGAAAUACAAGCAGAGUUGAAAAACCAGGCCUCGGCAGCUAUUCGUUUUGUCCCAAGAAAGUGUAAUGUAAUAGCCCAUAACUUAGCUAAUGUAGCUCUUGAGUUUGAGGAUCCUAUCUAUCACAUGGAUAGGUGAUUUCCCUGUCCAGCUGUUGAUGUUGUUCUCUUCUUCUUAAUCAAUUGAAUGCUUUACUUUCUCAUAGAAAAAAAAAGAGUGUGUGCAGAGUAAAAAUUAAUUAUUUUAAAGAGUGAGUAUAUUUGAACCCACCAAAUUACUUUGUAAACUCAUCUACUUAUUAAUUCUAUUGUUAAAAAUUUUAUAUUAUACUUUAUAAACCCAUGUUAAUAACCAACAUAUCCUUGAAAUUAAUUCAUGAUUUUCUGCAACAUUUUUCUUCUCUUCUUCUUCUUCCAUCUCUCCAACCCUUGGCGCAUUCAUAACCAAAGGUCGUAUCCUUCAACUUCUCAAGUGGAAUUUAUUUUUUGUCCGCGCUUGUCAUUAAACUAUUAUAAAGUAUAUAUAAUAUCAUGAAAAAAUUAAAUGACAAUAAGAUGAUAGUUGUAAUCAAUAAUCAAUUGAUUACACAACUAAUUCAAACGCUCAAUAUUUGUCAAUGGCAUAACUCUUCCCUUUCUUAUACAGUGCAAAUUUAAUGAAAUAAAUUUUAGGGAAAUUAUCAGCCAUAUACCUUUAAAUGACACCCGCAUCAAACGUGUGUGAACACUUUUCAAGUGUAUUACUCGUAUAUCCUAAGUUGACAAAAUACUUCUGACAUCCAACAAUCUGUUAACUUUCGUUAGAAAGUUAACAGAAUUGUGACAAAUUGACUAUUUUGCCUUUGAAACUCAAAAUAAGGUAAAAAGAUAAAUUUACUUCAAAAGUUAACGUAAAUUUUCAAUACACAAUUUUUUUUAUUUUGUUAUUAACAAUACAUUUUUUUGAUUAAAAAAUGAAUUAUUAAUGGUAUAUAUUAUUAACAAUUAUUCAUAAAAAAAAUCCAUAUUAUACCAUAAUAAAUUAUUAACAACAUAUUAUUUACACUUAUACAUAUUAUACCAUAAAAAUUUCCAAUUGGAGCUUGGAGGAGUGGAUUUUCAAAAAUUUAGGUUAAAUUUUGGAGGAGUAGAUUCGGUUGUAAAGUAGUUUUUUUUAGCAAUUAUUAAAAAUUAUCCGAUAAAUGGGAUGACAUGUCAUUGUUAUCAAUAUAUAUCAUAUGAUAUGUCAUUUUUUACUAGGUAAAUGGGAUGACAUGUCGUUUUUUAAUCAAAGUUUUGUCAAUCUUAAAAGACUAAAUUACCCUUAUGAUGUCAACACUUGCAAAAAGAAGUUAACGGAUUGGUGGACGGAAGAAGUGUUUUAUCAACUUAGGGUACACGAGUGAUACACUUAAAAAGUGUUCACACAUGUUUGAUACAGGUGUCAUUUAAGAGUAUAUGACUGAUAAUUUUCUUAAAUUUUAUUGCUUGAAUCUAAAAUAUCUUGACUAGAACUUAUUGGUUUAUUGGAUUCCAAUGAGCUUUACUGGUGAGAUAGUUUUGACCAAAUCCAAGUAUCCAACAACUUGAUUGGAUUUGUUUUCGACCAAAGGAGUUGAAGAAAAUUUAAAAAAAAAAUUAAAAGUAUGAAACAAAUUUUCUCUUAUGUCUACAUUGAACAGAUUUAGACAUGAUUAAAAGAUGAGAGCAUGAAGUAUAUACAUACUAUUAUGUCUUUAAUAGUAAUUUACGUUAGAGAUAAUUUAGUAGUAAAAAUGUUUUCUAAAAAGUGGUUCAAAUGAGUAUUAUGGUGGAUUCAAAUAGUCCCACCAUUUUUCAAAAGAUUAGGUUAUUUAUACUCCAAAAAUUACUUUGAACACUUUAUUACUCUGUACAAUCAUGUGCUGGAUUUAAAAUAAUUAAAUUUUACUUUCUACACUCUUUAAAAUACAAAAAAAAGACCUUAGUUAAACUAGUUAAACUAAUUUACUCAAAACACCAAUUAAACUAUUGAGCAUCCAAAAUGAAUUAAUAACAACUUAGUAUAUACACAAAGGAAUCAAAUUAUAUUCUAAACAUAUUCUUUGUUAGCUUUUGUCUAUUAAAGAAUGUAUUCAAUAUUAGUUUUUGCACCCAAUUUUUUAACCAAACAAUUGAAAAAAAUUUUGCCAUCUAGCCCCCCAAAAAAAAAAAAGAAAAAGAAAGAAAAAAGGAAAAAAAGAGGAAGAAGAAAUAGACGAAGAAAAAGAAGACUAAAAGAAGGAUGAGGAAGAGGAAGAAGACUGCAAUUUUUUUUUUCUUCUGAAAAUCAAAGAGUAAAAAUAUGCUCAAAAUAUAUUAAAAGUAUUGAUUUGCUCUUUGUUUAACUAAAUAUUGUUUAAGUUAUUGGAUUUAAAUUUUUUCGGGUUUAUGGCAAGAUAAUCAUAUAUUGAAUAGCGAGUGUUUGGAGUAAUUUUAUUAUGUUAGUUUAUAAGAGAGAUUCCAUAUUAGUAAUUCAUAUAAUAGGUGUUUUUGUAAUAAAAUAAUUUAUUAAAAUAAGAAUAUUCAUAGUAAUGUUAAGAGUGCAAAUAGCCCCACCUUUUUUAUAAAAUAAGUAAAUGAGUAUACAUAAAUAAUAGUAUAUUUUGAGUAUUUUUUCAAGCGCAAAUAGGCCCACCAUGCAUAAUUUAUUUAGAUGAGUUUUAUUUUAUUUAUUUUUUGUUAACUUCAGUUAUCUCUAAAUUAUCGUAAACCUUAAUUUACCCUAAUGAUCAUUCAAAAAAUACGAUCAAAUGGGAACAAUAGAUGAUUUCUUUUUUCUUUUUUUACCUUCUUAAUAGUAAUUGUGGAUUGAUUAAUGUUUAUUAUAGUUUGAGGAUAUUUUGAGAAUAAUUAAUGUAUUAGGGGUAAACAAUUUUUUUUUUUUCAAAUAAUUAACCGAACUUACAUUCUCUAGUUCUAUAGAAGACAGUCAAUGAGUGACAAGUCCACAAAGAUCACCACAUGCAUGAUUGAUAUUGACACGUGUACCAUUAGCUGGAGACAAUAUAAUGGUACAGGAAGAUUCGAAACAAAGAAAAGCCAUUAAACAUAUGCAAACGAAAAUAUGUUUUUAAUUCACUUUCAACUAAUCUACCACGUAGGCAAGUCUCAUUUCUUUGAACACUUCAAAAAUCUCUGUGUGUGAAAUGGAAUUGCCCCUGAAAUCCAUAGACCUGACCAUUGUUAUCGUAACAGUGGGAACUGGGCAUGGAGAGUGCUGAACUGGGUGUGGCUGAGGGGCCCAAGAAGCUGGAGAAAUUCCUGAGACAGCAAAGGUUUCAAAGGCAAUUCUUGCAGGCUUCUGUUUGGUGACUUGAAAGAAAGUUUAGACGAUAAUAUCUCGACUGGAUUGUGCCAUUAUUAAUCAAACUAAUUCAGUUUGCACAAUUGUAGAGCUGAUAUAAGUAGAAGAAAUCCAAAUAGACUUCUCGUUAUAAAUGUAGUUAGUAGAGAUCAUACACAUCAAGAUAAUUCUUGAAUAUUUUUAUGGGUUAAAACGUAAUUUUAUUUUUAUUAAUGAAGAAAAUAUGUAUGGUGUUGAAACAUUUAAGCUAUGUUGUUUGCGAGACCAAUAAUUUUCUUGAUAUCAUGGGCUAAUGGGUGUAACUCAAGCUGUGGUAAGUUAUGCCACGAGCAAAAUAACCAGAGCUUAAAAAUUGAUGCAGGCAAUAAUUCAUUUAUGUGGUUCGGUCCGACACGAAGGUUGAAUAUUGUGAAGCCCGAUCAAAUCAAAGAGAUAUCUACCAAGAUCAAUGAUUUUCAAAAAAUCAAUUCAGAUCCACUUGCCAGAUUAUUGGCACUUGCAUUGGUUAGCCAUGAGGUGACAAGUGGGUUAAUAUAGAAAUCUUAUCAACUAGGUCCACCAAGAGAAGCUCUAGGUUAUUAAUUGAUUUCUUCAUUUGUUUACAUAAAUGUCUUCAUUUUAAUUUCUUUCUGUUUCGUUUCAACUUAUGUUGCCUGCGUUCUACCAAAGUUGUAGUGAAAUAAUUACAAAGUGGGAGAACCUGACGUCUAAAGGAGGAUCAUGUGAGUUGGGUGUACGGCCUUCUCUUGCAAAAUUAACUAGUGAUGUGCUUCCUAGGACGGCUUCUGGGAGCAAUUAGCAAUGUAGGAGUUGAUUUUCUUCAAAUAUUAUGGAAGUAGGUUUGGACCAUCCUGGGCUUAUUACUUCGAUCCAUGUCAUCAUAUAUUUAAUCUAAGAUGUUAAUCAUAUUGUUGAAAUCGAUAAGUAGGACUUGAUUAGUGCAUUCAAUACGUUCUUGUAUUUUCUAUUGUUCUUAUUUCUUAUGGGCAGGCAUGUACCUUCAGAGAGAAAUAAGAGAAUGAAGGAAAUUGACAAGCAAAUACGAGCUUCACUGAUGGGAAUCACAAAAAACAGAUAGAAGGCAAUGAAAGCAGAGGAAGCUGGAAAUGAUGACUUGGCAUACUGAUGGAGACCAAUUUUAGAGAAAUUGAAGAACUUGGAAACAACAAAAAUGUUGGAAUAAGCUUUAACGAUGUGAUCGAAAAGUGCAAGCUAUUUUACUUUGCUGGCCAAGAGACUACCUCUGUUUUGCUUAAUUGGACAAUGUUGCUAUUGAGCAAGCAUCAAGAUUGACAAGUGUUGAGUGUUAGAAAAUGUAUAUUAAUAAAGGAGAAAAUCGUCAUUUUACACUUCAAGUCUCACUAACAUCCUUACUUUUCUAUAAUUAAGUCCCUUGUGAUUUAAUUAUGUGUGUUUUAUUUUAAUGAAGUAUUUUAUGUAUUUUAGGGGCAGCAUGGUCAUUUCACAAUUAACGAAAGAUUAGAGAGCAAAACAUAUAGCAAUUUUGGAGUCAGGACAGUCAAAAGCCUUAGGAGGAGCAUACAAGGAUAAAUAUUACUGUUCAUAUGUACGGUACUAUACAUGAUACUAUUCACGACGUUGUUCACAUAUACGGUAUGAUGACAUGUCAUUGACCGAUGACGUGGCAUUGACCAAUGAUGUGGCACAGACCGAUGAUGUGACAGUAUCGAUUGGACGAGUGAUGUGGCAUUAACUGCUUAUGUGGCGGUGACUGAUGAAUUGGCGUUGACCGAUGAUAUGUCACGAUCCUAUUGGCUAAAAUAUUGAUGUGGUGUUGACCGGUGACGUGGUAGUAUGUUAGUGGAGAAAAAAACGUGCAUACGGUACAUGCAUAUACACAGAAUAACAGCCCUGAUGAGGUGUUCUAUCCAAUCAGAACUUGCCACGUGGCGCAAUCCUUAGCAUCUAAAUUUUUUUAAUUUGAUGGCCAUAAUUUACUCAUUGUAUCUAUAAAAUGGGAGUUCUCCCCCCUAAUUCUAGACCCUUGAAUUCAUUUUUGAGCUCCAUUUUCUGUAAUUCAUUAUUUAUCUUGUAUUUUAUAUAUAUUUUAAUAAAUUUCAUUUUACCCCUAAUUUAAUUAUGAGUAACUAAUUUUCUUUCAAGCUUGGGUUGAAGGUGAAGUCUCAAUAUGUUCCCUGGUUUUUUUUUUGGUAAAUUUAAUUUUUCUUUUUGACUUUUUGUCGACAGAUAGUAAUAAUCUUGUCUAGAUACCGCACUGGUAUAACUGGCUCCCAAGUGUAGUGUUAUUACUAUUUGGCACGAUAAGUCAUUAACACCAUAUUAAUUAGAGUGUGGUUUAUAAGGAGUGGAAACCCCCCUCAUGAUUUAAUUGGCACUAAUAAAGAAUAUUAAGCCCAUAGUGCAUGUUGAUGCAGAUCCAGAUACCCAAGCAUUUCAUUUUAACAGAUUUUACUUCAAUUUAUUCUCUCCAUUUUAAUUUGAAAUAAUCUAAAUCACUUCUACCACAAAUCCAAUCACCCACUUAGAAAAUUAACUCUAUACACAAUUAAAAUCCACCUUCUCGUGGGAUCGACGCUCAUCACCAUUGAUAUAUUCUACAAUAGAUUCGUGCACUUGCGAGUUCAAUAAAAUUUACAUAACAACAAUAACGUGCAAGAAAAGAGGUUUUGCAAGUUUUUGGCAAUAAUAAGAGUGAUUAUGAUGGAUUGAAUCACCUCAAAAUUGUAAGUACAAAUGAAAUUGAGUUGAAAUAUGCUUUACUAUAGUUGAUAAAUUUUGGUCGUAUUAAUUUGCGUUUUGUGUGCAUAUCUUACACGUUCAAAUGAUAUUCUACAAGGUACCCACGCUUUAUCCCCCAGUAGUUAUACAGGCCGAGCAAUCAGAAUUUUAGGAUGAAAAACAAUGAAAUUUGGAUGAAAACAACAAACAUUUAAGGUGGGCGAUAGCACUGUCCUUAAGAUGCCUCAAGAUGCAAUAUCUCGGUGCAAGAAGGGCUAACAAAAGUAGUUUGAUCUCCACUAUACAAUUUCUACUAUUGUGAUGUUGCACUUGAACAUGAUAAUCUAGAACAACAAAAUGUAUAAUGACGAAAGAAAGGAAAACAUAGAGCAAGAGAGUAAGUUUUCGGAUGACCAUAGUGUGAUCUAUUUGGCUCUUUAAAUAGAUACAAGCCCUAACCCAUUUUUCCUCUCUAAAUUGGAAUUAUAAUUAUAUUUAUUAAAUCCUAAUUCGAUUAGGAAUUGAAUUCUCAAUCUAAUUCGAAUUAAAAUAAAUAAAAUUAAAACAAAGGACAAAAACAUAAUAGAUGGCCAAGCCCUCACAUAUACAUGAAACCCCAUGGGGGGGAGAGGGUCCCCCUUGCGAGUGAGUUAUUGGGUAUGAGCGACCAAUUAAUAGAGUCAUGGAAUGAGCUCUUCUCAUGGGCUUGGUUUCAUGCAAAUGGGCCUCCUCUUCAUAGGCAUGUUACUGCACUUUAUUUGGUUUCUAUAUAAAAAUCAACUUAUACUCUCUUAUUUAAGUAAUGUGGGAUAUUGGUAUUUUAAAAUACCAACUCAAUCUUUAACAAUCCUCCACAUAUUUCAAAAUACUCAAUUUCUUUCGACUUCAUCAUAGUCCAUAGAGUUUAAUGCAUAUGAACUGGUGCCUUUUGGCCAAUGAACUAGCCAUUGAAUACCUAACCAUGUCUCAUAGGAACUUGGUGAAACUGAUAAUUUCUAUAAACCAAUAUUCUCUUUUUUUUUGUAAGACAGAGGACUAGAAGCUCAUAUUAAACUCUCUCAAUGUUUUGUUGUUUUGCGAUUUGGCACUUUAGUAGCCAUGUGCCCUUGUUUUCAUGAGCACUCUAGAGAAGCAUGUUUAACUCUCAUAGGAACUUACCCAAUUCUACACUAACAUAGGUGAACCUCCAUCAAGUAUGUCAUGCAGUUUUGACACACCAUCAUAUAUAAAAAGUGAGUUAUGAAGUUUAUUAAAAGCUCAAUUGCUUAACCUAAAUCACUGCGAUAAACAUUAUCUUGUUCUAGGGAGGAUUUACAAAUAAAGAAAAUAUUUAUAGAAUAAAAAUAAGAUUACAUAAUAUUGAUAAUAAAUAUAAGAUUACAUAAUAUUGAUAGUGUUACAAAACAACAAGUAACUUAUUAAACGUUCUUCAUGGGAUCUCCAAUCACACAGGUAGAGUUACCAUCACUCUUGUCUUUUGAUCUAGACAGUAGUCCCAUCUCCCUUGAUGUGAUCUCUACUUAACUCUUGUUUAGUGUUUUUGGUAGAGGAUUGGUCAAAUUCAACUUUGUCCUUACAAAAUUUAGGCUCAUAAUAUUUGAUUCCAAUAGCUACUUAACGAUACGAUGUCUCAUAAUGUGUAUACUCUUCUUAUUAUAUAUGUCACUUAUAGCUCUUACAGUAGCAACUUGACAAUCACAAUGGAUUGGCGUAGUAGUAGGAUGGUGAGCAAACAUGGGAAGAUUUUCCAAAAGGUUUCGCAACCACUCAGCCUCAAAACAUAUUUUCUCUAAAGCAAUUAGCUUGAAUUCCAUGGUAGAGCAAGCUAUACAUGUUUGCUUGGAUGAUUUCUAAGAUACUGCACCUUUAUCAAGCAUGAAAAUAUAACCUAGUGGAUUUGAGCUUAUUUGAUCAGAGAUCCAAUUUGCAUCACUAUACACUUCAAGUACUUAUGGAGAUCUACCAUAUUUAAGCCUAUAAUCAAUGGUUCCUCUUAAAUAUCUAGCAAUUCUAGCUACUGUAGUCAAGUGAUAGUCGUCAGGUUUUCUACAAUUCAUCAAGUACAUUAGGUUACCAAUUAUUUGGGCAUACAUCACUUGAUCAACACUAUGUUAGGUAUUCUUCUUUAUGUGGGUAUUAUUAUCAUACGUGGAAGGGACAUUGUUUUGCAAUCAUAAUACUUAAAUCUUGUUAACAGUUUUUCAACAUAAUGUUCUUGCAAUAACAUGAGACCAUCACAAACUUUUAUAAUUUUGAUGCUUAAAAUAACAUUUUCCUCUAUCAUAUCUUUCAUAUCAAAAUUAGAUUCAAGCAUCUCCUUAAUCUCAUUAAUAGUUCCAACAUUAGAACUUAAAAUAAGCAUGUCAUCAAUAUAGAGACAUAUGAUGAGAAAAACAUAAGUGUUUAUAGAUUUAGAACAUAUACUUUUGUCUAAAUCAUUAAUCGUAUAUCCAUUGGACAAUAAUACUUGAUCAAAUGUCUCAUGCCAUUGUUUCGGUACUUGUUUUAAGCCAUAUAGAGGCAUAACCAACUUGCACACUUUAUGCUAGAACCUAACAACCUUCAGGUUGAUCUAGAUAGAAACUCCUCAUCUAAGUUUGCAUUGAGAAAGACAAUUUUAACAUUUAUUUGACGCACAUGUAGAAUAUGAAUUGAUGUAAGAGCAAUCAAAACUCUAAUAGAUGCAAUCCGAGUUACAGGAGCAUAUGUGUCAAAAUAAUCUAUAUCUUUCUUCUAUAUGAAUCCCUUGGCCAUCAAUCUUGCUUUAUAUUUAUCAAUAUAUCCAUCAACUUUUAAUUUCUUUUUGAAAAUUCACUUGCACCCAAUAGGUUUUAUACCUAGAGGUAUGUCAACUAAUUCUCAUACACGAUUGCUCAUUAUAGAAUUUAGUUCAUUGUUGAUAGCUUCUUUCCACUAUAGUGCAUCUCGAGAAAUCAUAGUUUUUGUGAAAGUCUGAGGAUCAUUUUCCGCAAGAAAGAUAUAGAAAUCAUCCUGAUGCAUUUUCUUAGUUCCACAUUUGAACUUUCAGAAGAAUUAAUUGUUGAUUCAGUAUAGGAUAGUUGUUUCUCCAUGCUAGUUUUUUAAGAAAAAUAGAUUCAAAGAACUUAGCAUUCUUGGAUUCAAUGAUGGUAUUAGCCUCAAAUGAGAUACCUUAAUCUUGUAACACCAAGAACCUAUAGGCAACACUCUUGUGGGCAUACUCUAUAAACAUACAGUUGAUAGUUUUUUGUCCUAAUCUUAUUCUUUUGGGAUCCAUUUUAAGAACUUCGGCUAGACACCCCCAUAUUUUAAGGUGUGAUAAGUUAUGCUUAUAGCCUUUUCAUAAUUCAUAGGGUGUCUUACCUAUUUCCUUAUAAGGUAUUUUGUUUUGAAUAUGACAAGCAGAUAACAUAACUUCCUCCCACAAAUUCAGCAGUGCCCCAUAACUUAUUAUCAUGGCAUUUACCAUGUUUUUCAAAGUUUUGUUUUACCUUUUAGCUAUACCAUUAUAUUCAAGUGAAUAGGGAGGUAUCACUUCAUGGAUGAUACAAUGAUUCUCACAAUAAACAUUUAACAUGCUUGAAUCAUAUUCACCUCCUUUAUUAGUUCUUGAUCUUUUAAUUGUCUUAUUAAAUUGAUCUUCAACUUCACUUUUAUAGACUAAGAAAUUUUCACCUGCUUUAUUUUUAUUUCUUAAUAGAUAUAAUUUUGUAUAUCUCAAAAACUCAUCAAUAAAAGUAAUAUAAUACAUUUUGUCUCUUCUGAUCAUAGAUUGUUUCAAAUCAUCAAGGUCACUGUGAAUUAAAUUGAGAAGUUCGGUUUCUCUAUAUUGAACUUAUCUACAUGUCUUCUUAGUGGAUUUGGCUUCAACACACACCUUGCAUUUGUCAUUAGAUAAGCUCAAAUUAGACUGUAAACCAAGUUCUCUCAUUUUAUUAAUAUAAGAAAAAUUCAUAUGACUAAGUCUCCUAUGCCAAAAUCAAUAAAGUCAACUACACAAGCAGAAGAAGAAGCCUUUUCAUUUAUUAUAAUAUUGGAUACAUAAAGUUUCAAGAGUUCUCUAGAACAAUACCCUUUUUGUCAUUACAAUUUUAUCACCCUCAAAGGAGACUUUGAACCUAGUUUUGCCCGCAUAAAAACAAAUAAUAGAUUGUAUCUAAUCUCAGGAACAUGGAGUACAUUACUCAAUGAGAGGUUUUUCCAAGAUGUAAGCUUGAGAAGAAUUUUACCUUUGCUUGGGAUUGAAGUAGAUCGAGAAUCACCAACUUAAAUAACUUGCUCUCCCUCCCGCACUAGAUUUAGUCAAAGAAAGAGUGUUUAUUGUUAUAUAUAUGUCUAGUAGCUCCAGAAACAAUCACCCAAUCUUUUCUUCUAUUUACCAUGUUCACAUCAGAGACAACUACAGCAGCAAUGAUGUCAUCUCCUUUUCCUUCAAUCAUAGGCUUUAGGAGGUUUUUUGCUAUCUUCAUUUCUCAUAGCUUUAUGCUUGCAUUGAUUAGCAUAAUACCUACUUUUUCGACAAACAAAACAAUGACCUUUCUUCUUAGCAAUGAGCCUUUUGGAGUUAUUAAGGUGUUUAUUAUUAAGAUUGUUCUGCUUUUUAUUAGGUUGAGGAGUGUUCUCUAUUAGAUUUGGAUUGGAAUAAAAUUCCUUUACUUUAUCGAAUGCAUCUCUAAUUAUGUUCUUCUCUUCAAUCUUAAUAUAUAUAAUAGCAUUUUCAAGACUCACUUGCUUCUUCUUAUGCUUUGAGGUUUUAAUAUUGUUGAGUUCUAACAUUUUUAACCAUUUUUUUCUUAAGUAGUGCCCAUAUCUCAAACGCAUUCUUAUAUUAAUAGUAAACAUCGAAGGUAGAACUAGCAAGAGUGUUCAAUAUUGUGUACUUGUAGACCUUGUUACAAAUAUUCUAAUUCUGGAGUUUCUUGUCAUUAUCUUCAGUGCCCUCUUUUAGUGGUGAUGACUGUAGAUAGUCAGUCAGGUCAUGAACAUCUAAUACAUCAAAGAGCUUUACUUGCCAGUGCUUAAAAUUUUUGCCAUUGAACAAUUCAAUCUUGGAGGUAUUUGGCAAGUUUUUUUUUCCUAGUGAUUAUAGUGGAAGCAACUGCUAGAAGAUCGGCAGUGGGAACAAUAAGUCCAGAGGCUGAGGGAGCAUCAUGUCCAACAACUAAUGAAGACAAAUUUUGUGGUUGAAUAUCACUCAUAUUUGAUCUUAAGAUUGUUGGAAUUUUAGGACAAAAAAAUUGUGAAAUGUGGAUGAAAAAUAGCAAAGAGUAAAGGCGUACGAUAACAUUUUCCUUAAGAUCAAAAUGUGCAUCUCAACAUGCAAUAUCUCAGUGCAAGAGGAAGUGAUGAAAGUGAUUUAAUCUCGAUGUUGCACUUCAACAUGAUAGUCUAGAACAACAAAACAUACAACAACGAAGAAAAGGAAAACAAAGGACAAGAGAACAAGUUUUUGGAUGACCAUAGUGUGCUAUAUUUAGCUCUUUGAAUAAAUGCAAGCCCUAGCCCCUUCUUCUGCAUUAAAUCUGAAUUUUACAUAUAAAAGGAUUUGAUUGAACCAUAAUUUGAUUAGAAAUCAAAUUCUCAAUCUAAUUCGAAUUAAAAUAAAUAAAAUAAAAAGGGCAAAAAUUAAAAGAUGGCUAAGCUGGUGCACAUGCACGAUAGCUCCGUGGGGGAGGUGGGGCCCCCUGCACAUGAGUUAUUGGGCAUUCUCUUUAUGACCUUGUUACCACACUAUAUUUGGUUUCUAUAUAUAAACCAACUUAUACUCUCUUGUCUAAGUAAUGUGAGAUAUUGAUAUUUGAAAAUACCACACUAUAUAAGUGAUGUGAGAUAUUGAUGCCCAAACUUUAUCCCUCAGCAGCUAUACUAGUCGAGCUAUUCGAAAAGAAAUGAAGCUUGGAAGCUUGACAUUAAAAAUUUUGAAGCUGUUAUAAUACUAUACUUACAGUUAAAAAUGUACUAGCACUACCUUAAAUCAAAUUUAUUAUGACACUGCUCGAAUUCUUUCCUCACUAAUUAGAGAAAUAUUUACUUUAUCAACAACAAUAAAGGAGAUAUUUCUACUCAUUUUUAAUUGGAAGAGGAAUAAUCGAGUCCUUAACGUGAGAACUUAAACCCAUGCCCUUACUAAAGUGAGAGUAUAAAAAUUCACCAUUUGACUAAAAAUUUCAAGUUAAAUUAUGGACAAAUCCAGCAUGGGACCAAUUUGGACACAUGCCCCAGCUAGUUUUUGAAUUUUUUUUAAUUAUUUUAAAAAUGUAUUUUAUUUUAUUAUUUAAGUGAUCUAGCAAAAAUAAAAAAUUAUGAAAGUGUCCCAAACAAUUUUAAAGAUUUUAUGUUGCUCCUAGUUUAAAUAUCUAAUUUUAAAUAAUUUAAUUAACUAUUUAAACAUUAUGAAAGUUAAAUCAAGACAAAAGACUGUAGAUAAAACAAAAGAGAUUCAUUUUACACUUUUUACAUUUCUCGUCCUUUUUUUAGUGCUUUGAAUGAAAGGUACUUUAUUUAUUUAUUUGUUAUAGUGGUAGUAGAAUAGUUGAUCAGAGCAAUGCGUAUGCAGCCAUACGUGGAUUUCAUUGUAGUUCCCAUAAAUGAAAGGCACUUUCCUACAAUUAUUUAGUUUUUUAAUAUUGAUCCCUAAAUUCUAACUCUAGUCAAUUCUAAUUUUCAAUUAUUCCAAUUGACCUUUUAUCUAGAAAAUCCCUAGUUUUAUCAUGUAUUCAUGUUAACUCUUUGCGUCACAUUAUAUGAACAUAUUUACUAUCAUAAAAAGAUUUUAGAGAAUAAUUUAAUUUAGAGAAUAAAUUAAGUGAUAACUUAAUUGUAUGCAUUGAAAAAUAUGCUUUUGAUUAUAUUAAUAAUGAAGUUGUUUCACGUUAUUUUCAACAUAUUACAUCCCAUCGAAAAGCCUUCAACAAGGGCAAUUGUAAUGAGUAAAUUUAUUAUUAAUGAAUAUUAGUAUUGUCAUGUUAUAUAUUACUAUAUAAAAUUUUAAAUUAUAUUAUAUUUUAAAUAAAGUACUAAUUAAGAGUGUGCAGUCACACAUAGGGAUGGUAAUUAUCAGACCCGGACGAAUCCGGAUAAUCCGGGCCGGAUUCAACCCAUAUAAGAAAAAUUUAAAUCCAAUAUCCGGAUGUAUUCGGGUCCAGUUCUGAGUUUGUGUGAACUCGUAAAUCCGGAUCCCAAUGCUGAAUAUCUUUAUUUUAAUAUUAAUUUUUUUAAUAUAAAUAGAAACAUCAAAGAAAAAGAAUUUAACUGUGCCCUAGUUUCACUCUCAAAUAGAGGUGGCAAAAAUACCCGCCCGGUCCGGACCCGGACCGUACCCGGGCAUUGCGGGCCGGGUAUUACCCGGCUCGGGUAUGAAGCCGGGUCGGUCUUGGGCAUCACUUGAUAAACCCAGAAUCCGGAUUUUAUUAAAAAAAUUAUAAAAUAUAUAUUAUUUUAAAUAUUUUAUAUUUAUUUGACUUAUUUAUUAUACAUAUAUAAAGUUUUAAACACUUAAAGUUUAUAUUUUCAUGUCAAAUUUUAUUGAAAUAAAUUUAAAACUUAUAAAAUUACUAAAAAAUAAAAAAUAUAUACACAUAAAAUAUUAAAAAAUAUAAAAUUCGAGUACCCGGAUUAAAACCCGGCCCGGACCCGAACCCGGACUGGUUGCAUCCGAGCAGGGUCCGGUCAUGGCAAUACCCGGACCCGGCCCGGGGUUUUGCCAUCUCUACUCUCAAAGUCGCGGCCGCCAAAGCCUUAAAGCCAAAAAUUUCCUCAUCAAAUCACCAUGAAUCGUGCUGUGUUCCUCAUCUUUACCGCCAAAAGCCCAACUCAAAUCAACAUGCUUAACCACCUCCGCGGCCGAUGACUGUGAUACGGGUUGAAAACGGCACCAUCAUCAUCAGCGGCUUGAGGGCGAUUGCGGCUGUGAUGCAGUAUAUAACCAUUAUCCCGAUAUCGGUAUCUUCAGCAAGGCCAUGGGUGUCUCAUGAACAGUUUCAACAAUGAUAUUUUCGAGAAGUUGGCCCAAGAACGUGAUUUCAUUCUCUUUGGGUUCUGGUUAUUGAAAUGGGUAGUGGAUUGUGAUUUGAUGGGAGUGUCAUACAAGGCAAUUGCAAAACAAGUAAAGGCUAAAAAUGGGAUUUUGAAAGUGUUUUUUUUUUUUUCUUUUCCCUUACACGACUGUGGCUUUGAGAAGCUUUGGUUGAGUGAUCCAACGCUCAUCGUCAUUCCUUACAGUGAGUAAAGUUUGUUAAAGUUUUUUUCAAAGCAAAUAAGAGAUUUUAAGUUAAAAAAUAUCCGGGUUUAAAACCUGGAUGUUUCUGGAUUGAAACCGCACCGGACCCAAACUUAAACUAUACGGUUACUAUCCGGACCUGGGAAGAUGAAUUGACAUUCGGGUCUACAACCGGAAAGACCAAACCCGGACCCGGACCUAAAAUUUGCCAUCCUGACUCACACACCUUAUGGAGUACGAUUGCGUACGUAACAAACACCCAUUUGACAGUUGUAAGACCCACAACAAUACUCGUCAAAUGAGAACUUAUCACACAAACAGUUGUAUCCCUGAUCAUAUUCGAUUUUGAAUGUACCCCAACUCGGUUUCGAUCCUGGCUAUUUUCCUGUUAAACUUUUUCAUCUACCUACAAUUGAACGAUGGUUAACCAAAGCACGGUUUAAUAUUAAAUUCAUAAAUUUUAAGAGUACAGAUGUCAUUACUAGAAAUUCUUAUUUACAUAUCCACACGCAUAAUUUUAUUUUUGAUGAAAUUUUAGUGUGUUUUUAGAAAAUAUAAUUAACCGAACCAUACACUCUAUGGUUCUAGAACAAAAUCUUGAGUUGUGUAAAAUAAUAGACCCGUGUUCUCUUUUAACACUACUUGUUGGAGACAGUAUCUGGUCCAUCAAACGAAUGCAGACAAAAAUGAUUUUAUCCGUCAUUUAAACCAAUCUUCCAACCUCAAAGAUACAUACUCUCCCAUUUCUCACAACACUUAAAAAAUUUCUGAGUGUGAAAUGGAAUUGACUCUGAAAUCCGUAGCGUUCACCAUUGUUAUUGUAACAUUGGUAACAUGGGCAUGGAUGGUGCUGAACUGGUUGUGGCUGAGGCCCAAGAAGCUGGAGAAAUUCCUGAGACAGCAAGGUUUAAAAGGCAAUUCUUACAGGCUUCUGUUUGGUGACUUGAAAGAAAGUACCAUCAUGUUGAAGAAAGCAAAAGCCAGACCUCUCAGUUUGGAUGAUGACGCUGCAGUUCGUGUUACUCCAUUCCUUCACAAACUGUUCAAGGAUUAUGGUAUGUAUGUCAGCGGCCUCAUAUUCUCUUUUACUUGUUUCCAAUUUCAGUAGGUAACAGCCUAUCCACUCAUUGGUUGAACGGUGUCAUUAUUUACAAAGUUAAUUUAGAAGGUUCGUUAGAGUUAUAAUUAUAAACUAAAAAUUGGAUUUUGAUUAUAAAUAUCAGUGAAAAGUAUAACAUGAAAAGUUGGUUCUUGAAAAUUUUUAUGGGUUAAAACAUAAUUUUAAUCUCCUUCGAACAAAGAAAAACCUAAUUAUAGGUCUGGGAUAUCGACGUUGCAGCUUUCCUUGGGCUUUAUCCGUUAUUCUUUGUUUAUUAUGAAGAAACUUUAUAUAUUGUGAUAAACGUUAUAUAUCGUGAUAAACUGAUAAACGUUUUUAAACAUUAAUGCUAUGGGAGAAACGUCGGUGAGGUAGUGUGGACUACAAGUGGAUCCCGAUGAUGCUCAGCCAUUUCUUUGUGGGACUACAAGUGGAUCCCGAUGAGGUACCCACUCCUCUGCCAAAUCACAAAACAUGUGUGGCGCUUGAGGUGGUAGGCCACCCCUCGGAAUUUUGUCUCUAAAAGCUACAUGUAUCUAGAGAUUGGGAACUAUCUAGUUUAGCUCGGCUCUGGGUGAAAACCGAACUAAACUAAAAUAAAUUGAUUUAUCAUUUUGUGGAUUAUAAAUCAAUUUGUGGAUUGAAUACGAAUCAAAUGCUAGAAUUGAACUGAAUCGAAUUAAUUUAGUUCGGUUCGAUUUUGUGAUUGGGUUUAGUUUUGAUUUUAUUUAGUCCAAGCAAUUUUACUUGUAUAUUUUUUUUAAUACAAACUUUGCUUGUAUAAUUAUUCAAUAAAAAACAACAUAAUAAUAUAAUAUUACUAUAACAACAAUUUUAAGUCCAUAAAUCCACGAAUAAUAAACUAUGUAAUAGAAUUCAACACAAAUAAAUCAACAUAAUAAAGUCACAACACGAAAUAUACAUAAUUUAGAAAUUCACUACAAAUUACAAAUCCACAACAAUAAAUAAAACAAGAAAGCAACAAUACAAAAUCAUAUAUAGGAGAAAUUUCAAAGUUCCACGUCAAUUUAAAUUUGUGAGUUUUAAUUUUUCUCUCUAAAGCAUUUGGGUUUUCAGUUUAGUUCGAAUUAAACAAACACAAAUUGGUUUGGAGAUUUAUGAAUCAUUUGAUUUUUUACUGCCCCCAACCGAAUGUCUACCCCUAUGAGAGACCAAUAAUUUUCUUGAUAAGAUGGGAUAGUUGCUCUAACUCAACCUGUUGAUGAGCUAUGCCACGUGUAAAAUUCCCAGAGGGAAAAUUGGUCUGUGGAUGGUGUUACUCCCCGUACAGUGCACAAUAGCGUUGUGUAGUUUCAACAUCAUUUGCAAAAUCUUGUGAAAUCACACCAUGAAUGUAACUUCUUACCUUGUAUUAGGCUUAGUUAUUUGGAAUAGAAGUUUAAUGAUUGAAGUAAAAUCAAUUGGCAUUUAUUCUUGACUAAGUUUUGAAUAAAAUCACUAAACUUUUACUGCUUAAAAUGUGGCCAUGCGCAAUGGAGCAUCUGCCUUCUAACUUUUGCAUAUAUAAUGUUAAAAACACUAAUGCAGGUAAGAAUUCUUUCAUGUGGUUUGGUCCGACACCAAGGGUGAAUAUAACGAAUCCUGAUCAAUUAAAAGAGAUAUUUUCCAAGAUCAAUGAUUUUCCAAAAAUCAAUUCAAACCCACUUGCCAGGAUACUGGCAGCUGGCUUGGUUACUUAUGAGGGUGAGCAGUGGGCUAAACACAGAAAAAUUAUCAACCCAGCAUUCCACCAAGAGAAGCUCAAGGUUAUUAAUUUCUUUAUCUGUUUACAUAAAUCUCAUUGGAAAAUUCCAUAUUCCCUUCAUUUUUCAUUUUGAUUUCUUGCUCUCAUUACAGCUUAUGUUGCCAGCAUUCUGCCAAAGUAGUAGUGACAUAAUUACAGAGUGGGAGAAGCUAAUGUCUACCGAAGGAUCAUGUGAGUUGGAUGUAUGGCCUUAUCUUGCAAAUUUGACAGGGGAUGUGAUUUCUCGAACUGCUUUUGGGAGUAUUUAUGAAGAAGGAAGACGGAUUUUCCAGCUCCAAUCAGAGCUAGCUGAACUCACAAUACAAGUUAUUCGUUCAGUCUAUAUUCCAGGAUGGAGGUACAUGUACAUUUCCUUGUUAGAUCAUAAAUGCUUAGUUAUAUUUCCGCUUUGAUUAACAUGGUGGGAGUUAAUUUUUUUUUUUUUUGGGGGGGGGGGGGGGGGCAAUUACUGAGAAUAAGAUCCACGCAACUCAUUUUGGUUUAGAUAACUCAGAUUGUGCCAUUAUAGUGUUAAUCUAAAAUGGUUCGGUGGAUUUCUGACGUUAAAUAUUAGUAGAUUAUAAUUCAAAAUAAAUAAAUAAAUAAAGACUAGGGGUUGAUUAAGUCAUUUAGUUAUUAUCUCUCUCAUAACUGUUUCUAUGCUUAUUUGUAGGUUUUUGCCUACUAACAGAAAUAAGAGAAUGAAAGAACUUGACAAGGAAAUAAGUACUGCACUCAUGGGAAUCAUAAAAAACAGAGAGAAGGCAAUGAAAGCAGGGGAAGCUGCAAAUGAUGACUUGUUAGGCAUACUGAUGGACACCAAUUUUAGAGAAACCGAAGAACAUGGAAAUAACAAAAAUGUUGGAAUGAGCUUCAACGACGUGAUGGAAGAGUGUAAGCUAUUUUACUUUGCCGGCCAAGAGACUACCUCUGUUUUGCUUAAUUGGACAAUGGUGCUUUUGAGCAAGCAUCAAGAUUGGCAAGAACGUGCAAGACAAGAGGUUUUGCAAGUUUUUGGCAAUAAUAAGCCAGAUUAUGAUGGAUUGAAUCACCUCAAAAUUGUAAGUACAAAG
rnacentral:lncRNA from 1 species